CUCAGGACACAACUGAAGGGGAGAGGCUGCUUCCUACCAAAAGGAAGAACAUAACAUCUGCCUCAUAGGAUUUUGGAGAGAACUAAAUAAAUCAGUACAGAUAAAACAUUUCAAACAGUGUCUGGCAUAUAAUGAGGAAACUGAGAAAGAUUUGUGAGGCAAAAGUUUGGCUGAAGAAGACAGAAAACACUUGGUGGCAGAGGUGAUAUCUGAGGUGAGCCUUAAAGAAUUAGAAAAAAAAAGAA